AUUGAACGCUGGCGGCAUGCCUUACACAUGCAAGUCGAACGGCAGCACGGGUGCUUGCACCUGGUGGCGAGUGGCGAACGGGUGAGUAAUACAUCGGAACAUGUCCUGUAGUGGGGGAUAGCCCGGCGAAAGCCGGAUUAAUACCGCAUACGAUCUACGGAUGAAAGCGGGGGACCUUCGGGCCUCGCGCUAUAGGGUUGGCCGAUGGCUGAUUAGCUAGUUGGUGGGGUAAAGGCCUACCAAGGCGACGAUCAGUAGCUGGUCUGAGAGGACGACCAGCCACACUGGGACUGAGACACGGCCCAGACUCCUACGGGAGGCAGCAGUGGGGAAUUUCGGACAAUGGGCGAAAGCCUGAUCCAGCAAUGCCGCGUGUGUGAAGAAGGCCUUCGGGUUGUAAAGCACUUUUGUCCGGAAAGAAAUCCUUGGCUCUAAUACAGUCGGGGGAUGACGGUACCGGAAGAAUAAGCACCGGCUAACUACGUG
rnacentral:rRNA from 1 species